GACUCUCGGCAACGGAUAUCUCGGCUCUCGCAUCGAUGAAGAACGUAGCGAAAUGCGAUACCUGGUGUGAAUUGCAGAAUCCCGCGAACCAUCGAGUCUUUGAACGCAAGUUGCGCCCGAGGCCACUCGGCCGAAGGCACGCCUGCCUGGGCGUCA
rfam:Triticum aestivum genome assembly, contig: Triticum_aestivum_CS42_TGACv1_scaffold_521429_6BS